rnacentral:pre_miRNA from 1 species
AUUUCAUCAUAAGUAUAUCCCAUGUAAUAUUUGGGACAUACUUAUAGUAAAA